GUGGGGAAUCUUCCGCAAUGGACGAAAGUCUGACGGAGCAACGCCGCGUGAGUGAAGAAGGUCUUCGGAUCGUAAAGCUCUGUUGUACGGGACGAAUGUUGGAGGCGUGAAUAAUGCCAUCAAAUGACGGUACUGUACGAGGAAGCCACGGCUAACUACGUGCCAGCAGCCGCGGUAAUACGUAGGUGGCGAGCGUUGUCCGGAAUUAUUGGGCGUAAAGGGAGCGCAGGUGGGAAGGUAAGUCUGUUUUAAAAGCGUCGGGCUCAACCCGAUGAGGGAACAGAAACUAUUUUUCUUGAGUGCAGGAGAGGAAAGCGGAAUUCCUAGUGUAGCGGUGAAAUGCGUAGAUAUUAGGAAGAACACCAGUGGCGAAGGCGACUUUCUGGACGAAAACUGACGCUGAGGCGCGAAAGCCAGGGGAGCGAACGGGAUUAGAUACCCCUGUAGUCC
rnacentral:rRNA from 1 species